rnacentral:rRNA from 1 species
CCCCAACUUUUGAAGGGGUGUAUUUAUUAAAUAAAAAACCAAUGCCCUUCGGGGCUUCUUGGUGAUUCAUGAUAACUUAACGAAUCGCAGGGCCUUGCGCCGGCGAUGGUUCAUUCAAAUUUCUGCCCUAUCAACUUUCGAUGGUAGGAUAGUGGCCUACCAUGGUUUCAACGGGUAACGGGGAGUUAGGGCUCGACUCCGGAGAGGGAGCCUGAGAAACGGCUACCACAUCCAAGGAAGGCAGCAGGCGCGCAAAUUACCCAAUCCCGACACGGGGAGGUAGUGACAAUAAAUACUGAUACAGGGCUCUUUUGGGUCUUGUAAUUGGAAUGAGUACAAUUUAAAUCCCUUAACGAGGAACAAUUGGAGGGCAAGUCUGGUGCCAGCAGCCGCGGUAAUUCCAGCUCCAAUAGCGUAUAUUAAAGUUGUUGCAGUUAAAAAGCUCGUAGUUGAACCUUGGGCCUGGCUGGCCGGUCCGCCUCACCGCGUGCACUGGUUCGGCCGGGCCUUUCCUUCUGGGAAGCCGCAUGCCCUUUACUGGGUGUGCUGGGGAACCAGGACUUUUACUUUGAAAAAAUUAGAGUGUUCAAAGCAGGCCUUUGCUCGAAUACAUUAGCAUGGAAUAAUAGAAUAGGACGUGUGGUCCUAUUUUGUUGGUUUCUAGGACCGCCGUAAUGAUUAAUAGGGAUAGUCGGGGGCAUCAGUAUUCAAUUGUCAGAGGUGAAAUUCUUGGAUUUAUUGAAGACUAACUACUGCGAAAGCAUUUGCCAAGGAUGUUUUCAUUAAUCAGUGAACGAAAGUUAGGGGAUCGAAGACGAUCAGA